UUUUAGAAAGUGGGGUAGAGAGAUUUUGAAAGAGAGUUUUGAAAGUAACAUUUGAGAAAUUGAAAUUGGUGUUAUAUGGGAAUAUAAGCAAAAGGCAACAACAACGGCUUACUGCAUAUAACUAUUGGUGUGAAAGGUCUUCC